UUCGCAAUGCCCGAAAGGGUGACGAAGCGACGCCGCGUGGGUGAGGAAGGCCUUCGGGUUGUAAAGCCCUGUCAGGAGUUAAGAAAUACAGGUAUGCUAAUAUCAUACCUGUUUGACAAAGGCUCCAAAGGAAGCCACGGCUAACUCUGUGCCAGCAGCCGCGGUAAUACAGAGGUGGCAAGCGUUGUUCGGAAUUAUUGGGCGUAAAGAGCACGUAGGUGGUUUUGUAAGUCAGAUGUGAAAGCCUUCUGUUCAAAGGAAGAACGGCAUCUGAAACUGCUGAUCUUGAAUGUAGGAGGGGAGAGUGGAACUUCUGGUGGAGCGGUGAAAUGCGUAGAUAUCAGAAGGAACGUCGGCGGCGAAAGCGACUCUCUGGCCUAUUACUGACACUGAGUGUGCGAAAGUUAGGGGAGCAAACGGGAUUAGAUACCCCGGUAGUCCUAACCGUAAACGAUGGGCACUAAGUAGAGGGGUUUU
rnacentral:rRNA from 2 species